UAGGGAAUCUUCGGCAAUGGACGAAAGUCUGACCGAGCAACGCCGCGUGAGUGAAGAAGGUUUUCGGAUCGUAAAACUCUGUUGUUAGAGAAGAACAAGGACGUUAGUAACUGAACGUCCCCUGACGGUAUCUAACCAGAAAGCCACGGCUAACUACGUGCCAGCAGCCGCGGUAAUACGUAGGUGGCAAGCGUUGUCCGGAUUUAUUGGGCGUAAAGCGAGCGCAGGCGGUUUCUUAAGUCUGAUGUGAAAGCCCCCGGCUCAACCGGGGAGGGUCAUUGGAAACUGGGAGACUUGAGUGCAGAAGAGGAGAGUGGAAUUCCAUGUGUAGCGGUGAAAUGCGUAGAUAUAUGGAGGAACACCAGUGGCGAAGGCGGCUCUCUGGUCUGUAACUGACGUUGAGGCUCGAAAGCGUGGGGAGCAAACAGG
rnacentral:rRNA from 2 species